rnacentral:rRNA from 1 species
ACAGAGGCCUCGAGCGUUGCGCGGAAUCACUGGGCUUAAAGGGUGCGUAGGCGGAUAUACAAGUGCCUUGUGAAAUCCCCGGGCUCAACCCGGGAACUGCUUGGUAGACUGUAUGUCUUGAGGUCGGUAGGGGUUGCUGGAACAGUUGGUGGAGCGGUGAAAUGCGUAGAUAUCAACUGGAACGCCAAAGGCGAAGGCAAGCAACUGGGCCGAUUCUGACGCUGAGGCACGAAAGCGUGGGGAGCAAACGGG